UUAUUGAACGAAAAAUUAAUUUUUCCCAGCUGAAAUUGAAAAUUUUGCUCGUGUGAAUAACAUUAGAUAUUUGUGUUAGAGUUUUGGGGAAAAAUCAGCUCCCUAGAUCUUAUCGGCUCGUCUAUACAGCGAUCACGCAUCACGCGACAGGACAAAUAUAUAUGCUGUUAGUUGUAUUUGCUGUGACGAAGUCGGACUGAAUCCGUGUGAACUUCAUACAAGCGUGGUUUCGUAACGUUGCUAGUGUUUGAAAAUACCAAAGUGUCAUCGAAUAACAACUUCAAGUUAGCUGAAAUUAAUUAUAACUUAAAGUUAACUUCAAAGUCUCUCUUGAAUUUUAAUAACAACGUCAAGUUGGCAGCAAUGUCACAGAAGCAACACGUAAGCGGAAACUCGCUACACUUCAUCAGUGGUCGGUACAUAGCAAAUUAAAACAAGUGAAAAAUGGCUGCCCGUAAUCUAAAAGACAUUGUUCUCACUGAGGAAACGGUGUCGACCCCGACAUUUGUACGUACAUAUUUCUUUUAUAAAUAUAUUUAUAUACGUACAUAUUUGUUCAUACAAUUUUAACAAUGAACCGGAUGAAGCUUCAACUUAAAAAUAGUAGCGCGAAAGCUUGCAUUGAGAAAUUGCACGAGCCCCAAACAACGCAAGCUAAAUUUCCAAACCAAAGUCUUUACAAACCUGUUGUAAAAAGUGAAAACGUAGAAACUGGAAAAACUUCACUUCAAACUGCAAUCGUAUCUCAAUUAUAGAGUUCAUUUACGCUUUUCGGACUUUGCUCAAUAAAAAUUGUCUCUACAUGGUUGUACACAUACAUACAUAUGUAAUUUAAUUUGGCAUAGUCAGGCGAAGUUUCGCUGUUUGUGGCUUUUCAAUGUCGUGGAGAAAGGUGACUUUGCCAACAACAAUGUUAUUCA